CCUACGUGAGGCAGCAGUGAGGAAUAUUGGUCAAUGGGCGCGAGCCUGAACCAGCCAAGUAGCGUGAAGGAUGACUGCCCUACGGGUUGUAAACUUCUUUUAUAAAGGAAUAAAGUGAGGCACGUGUGCCUUUUUGUAUGUACUUUAUGAAUAAGGAUCGGCUAACUCCGUGCCAGCAGCCGCGGUAAUACGGAGGAUCCGAGCGUUAUCCGGAUUUAUUGGGUUGAAAGGGAGCGUAGAUGGGUUGUUACGUCAGUUGUGAAAGUUUGCGGCUCAACCGUAAAAUUGCAAUUGAUACUGGCAGUCUUGAGUACAGUUGAGGUAGGCGGAAUUCGUGGUGUAGCGGUGAAAUGCUUAGAUAUCACGAAGAACUCCGAUUGCGAAGGCAGCUUACUAAACUGCCACUGACAUUGAUGCUCGAAAGUGUGGGUAUCAAACAGGAUUAGAUACCCCGGUAGUC
rnacentral:rRNA from 1 species